rnacentral:tRNA from 1 species
GUAGCUGUAGCUCAGUGGUAGAGUGCUUGCCUAGCAUGCAUGAGGCCCUGGGUUCAAACCUCAGCACCACA